CGAACUUCGCAUGCGGGAACCGCGACGAGGGAACUCCAAGUGCCAUGCAAUUUGUAUGGCUGUUUUCAUGUCUAAAAAACAUGGAGAGUAAGGGCUGGGUAAGACUGGUGCCAGCCGCCGCGGUAAUACCAGCAGCUCAAGUGGUGAUCCUUUUUAUUGGGCCUAAAGCGUCCGUAGCCUGUCUGGUAAAUCCUUGGGUAAAUCGUACCGCUUAACGGUACGACCUCUGGGGAGACUGCCAGACUUGGGACUGGGAGAGGUCGGAGGUACUCCAGGGGUAGGGGUGAAAUCCUGUAAUCCUUGGGGGACCACCAGUGGCGAAGGCGUCCGACUAGAACGGAUCCGACGGUGAGGGACGAAGCCGUGGGGCACAAACCGGAUUAGAUACCCGGGUAGUCCACGGUGUAAACGCUGCGAGCUUGGUGUUGGGGGUCCUACGAGGGCGCCCAGUGCCGGAGAGAAGUUGUUAAGCUCGCCGCCUGGGGAGUACGAUCGCAAGAUUGAAACUUAAAGGAAUUGGCGGGGGAGCACAAGCCGAAUUCCAGGCACAC
rnacentral:rRNA from 1 species